rfam:Treponema succinifaciens DSM 2489, complete genome.
GGGGGUGUAGCUCACCUGGCUAGAGCGCUUGCAUGGCAUGCAAGAGGUAACCGGUUCAAGUCCGGUCAUCUCCA